UUCCAGACUCCUACGGGAGGCAGCAGUGGGGAAUAUUGCACAAUGGGGGAAACCCUGAUGCAGCGACGCCGCGUGGGUGAAGAAGUACUUCGGUACGUAAAGCCCUAUCAGCAGGGAAGAAAAUGACGGUACCUGAUUAAGAAGCCCCGGCUAACUACGUGCCAGCAGCCGCGGUAAUACGUAGGGGGCAAGCGUUAUCCGGAUUUACUGGGUGUAAAGGGAGCGUAGACGGCUGAGCAAGUCUGAAGUGAAAGGCGGGGGCCCAACCCCCGGACUGCUUUGGAAACUGUAUAGCUAGAGUGCAGGAGAGGUAAGUGGAAUUCCUAGUGUAGCGGUGAAAUGCGUAGAUAUUAGGAGGAACACCAGUGGCGAAGGCGGCUUACUGGACUGUAACUGACGUUGAGGCUCGAAAGCGUGGGGAGCAAACAGGAUUAGAUACCCGGGUACCA
rnacentral:rRNA from 1 species